CAGUCGAGCGGAACGAAGAUAGCUUGCUAUCAGGCGUCGAGCGGCGGACGGGUGAGUAAUGCUUAGGAAUCUGCCCAGUAGUGGGGGAUAGCCCGGGGAAACUCGGAUUAAUACCGCAUACGCCCUUUUGGGGAAAGCAGGGGAUCUUCGGACCUUGCGCUAUUGGAUGAGCCUAAGUCGGAUUAGCUAGUUGGUGGGGUAAAGGCCCACCAAGGCGACGAUCCGUAGCUGGUCUGAGAGGAUGAUCAGCCACAUCGGGACUGAGACACGGCCCGAACUCCUACGGGAGGCAGCAGUGGGGAAUAUUGGACAAUGGGCGCAAGCCUGAUCCAGCCAUGCCGCGUGUGUGAAGAAGGCUUUCGGGUUGUAAAGCACUUUCAGUGAGGAGGAAGGCUUUCAGAUUAAUACUCUGGAGGAUUGACGUCACUCACAGAAGAAGCACCGGCUAACUCCGUGCCAGCAGCCGCGGUAAUACGGAGGGUGCAAGCGUUAAUCGGAAUUACUGGGCGUAAAGCGCGCGUAGGUGGUUGAGUAAGCGAGAUGUGAAAGCCCCGGGCUUAACCUGGGAACGGCAUUUCGAACUGCUCGGCUAGAGUGUGGUAGAGGGUAGUGGAAUUUCCUGUGUAGCGGUGAAAUGCGUAGAUAUAGGAAG
rnacentral:rRNA from 1 species